GACGAACGCUGGCGGCGUGCUUAACACAUGCAAGUCGAACGGACAGGCCCUGCUUUUGUGGGGUGCUCGAGUGGCGAACGGGUGAGUAACACGUGAGUAACCUGCCCUUGACUUUGGGAUAACUUCCUGAAACUGGGGCUAAUACCGGCUAGGAGCUCCUGCUGCAUGGUGGGGGCUGGAAAGUUUCGGCGGUUGGGGAUAGACUCUCGGCUUAUCAGCUUGUUGGUGGGGUAGUGGCUUACCAAGGCUUUGACGGGUAGCCGGCCUGAGAGGGUGACCGGCCACAUUGGGACUGAGAUACGGCCCAGACUCCUACGGGAGGCAGCAGUGGGGAAUAUUGCACAAUGGGCGGAAGCCUGAUGCAGCAACGCCGCGUGCGGGAUGACGGCCUUCGGGUUGUAAACCGCUUUCGCCUGUGACGAAGCGUGAGUGACGGUAAUGGGUAAAGAAGCACCGGCUAACUACGUG
rnacentral:rRNA from 1 species